rnacentral:rRNA from 1 species
GUAGGUGGCAAGCGUUGUCCGGAAUUAUUGGGCGUAAAGCGCGCGCAGGCGGUCCUUUAAGUCUGAUGUGAAAGCCCACGGCUCAACCGUGGAGGGUCAUUGGAAACUGGGGGACUUGAGUACAGAGGAGGAAAGCGGAAUUCCAAGUGUAGCGGUGAAAUGCGUAGAGAUUUGGAGGAACACCAGUGGCGAAGGCGGCUUUCUGGUCUGUAACUGACGCUGAGGCGCGAAAGCGUGGGGAGCAAACAGGAUUAGAUACCCUGGUAGUCCACGCCGUAAACGAUGAGUGCUAAGUGUUAGGGGGUUUCCCGCCCCCUUAGUGCUGCAGCUAACGCAUUAAGCACUCCGCCUGGGGAGUACGGCCGCAAGGCUG